CGAGUACAGCAAACCAUCAAUAAUAAAACAAUAUACCAAAACUAAAGAAAUAAAAGCAAAGAAAAUAAAAUGAAAACAAAAAAGUCCAAUAAAAAUGGGAAAGGAAAUGUAACCAGGAAAUUGAUCUCCACCCUUCUGAAGCUGCCUUAAAGGUCCUCCACUGCACCACAAAAAGCUUCCACAGAAAGUUGUUCAUUCAUCUGUGCACGUGCCUCUUUGUCC
rnacentral:lncRNA from 1 species